rnacentral:lncRNA from 1 species
GAUUGGUCACUGUGAGGAAGCCAAAUCGGAUCCGAGAGUCUUUUUCUAAAGGCCAGUACUGGCCACACUUUCUCCUGCCGCCUUCCUCAAAGCUGAAGACACACAGAGCAAGGUAAGCCUUCCAACUCACCGGGUGGUCAUGACAAUCACCAAGACUUUUUGCUCCCAUACCAUGAGCCAGAAAUCACGAUAGGUAUUCUCCAAAGGACCUGAAAUAAAAGGAG